rnacentral:rRNA from 1 species
GACGUAGGGCGCGAGCGUUGUCCGGAUUUAUUGGGCGUAAAGGGCUCGUAGGCGGUUUGUCGCGUCUGCUGUGAAAACUCGGGGCUUAACCCCGGGCCUGCAGUGGGUACGGGCAGACUAGAGUGCGGUAGGGGAGACUGGAAUUCCUGGUGUAGCGGUGAAAUGCGCAGAUAUCAGGAGGAACACCGGUGGCGAAGGCGGGACUCUGGGCCGAUACUGACGCUGAGGAGCGAAAGCGUGGGGAGCGAACAGG